AGACUAACUAUUCAAUGCCCCAUGCCUGGAUAAGGGACAGGAAGGGUUGACAAGAGUGGAAAAGAAGAGAAAUCCAGGUUCUUCGAGUUUCCAGUGUGGAGAGAGAAAAUACACCAUAACAACAACUCUUUAGUACCAACCUACACAGAGAGAAAAGACUGUGGGAAGAAGAGAAGACCUAGAGAUUUAACCAUUUCUCUAUUCACAGCUUGUUACACCAGACUUCAAUGAAUUUUCUCCCCUUGGCUUCUUUUCUCUGGGUCUUCAUAUGAAGUUUACCAAGCCUUCAAACAAUAAGAGGCAAGAAGGAAUAAACAGCAGGACCGGAAUAUUUGACCUCUCACAGUUAUAUGGACAUAACUGUUUUAGGAGAAAACUGGAUAGAUACAGUGAUGCCAGAAAAGAUUCAAG
rnacentral:lncRNA from 1 species